AUGUCCCCUCACUGUCCCCAUGUCCCCUGGGUGUCCCCUGGGUGUCCCCGGGGUGUCCCCUCACUGUCCCCUCACUGUCCCCUCACUGUCCCCUCACUGUCCCCGUGUCCCCUGGGUGUCCCCUCACUGUCCCCUCACUGUGCCCUGGGUGUCCCCUCACUGUCCCCAUGUCCCCUGGGUGUCCCCUCGCUGUCCCCUCAGUGUCCCCUCACUGUCCCCAUGUCCCCUGGGUGUCCCCUGGGUGUCCCCUCACUGUCCCCUGGGUGUCCCCUGGGUGUCCCCUGGGUGUCCCCUCGCUGUCCCCAUGUCCCCUCACUGUCCCCUCACUGUCCCCUCACUGUCCAUGUCCCCUCACUGUCCAUGUCCCCUCGCUGUCCCCGUGUCCCCUGGGUGUCCCCUGGGUGUCCCCUGGGUGUCCCCUCACUGUCCCCUCGCUGUCCCCUGGGUGUCCCCUGGGUGUCCCCUCCGUGUCCCCUCAGUGUCCCCUCCGUGUCCCGCAGGUCCCGCCGCUGUCCCGGAGCCGUCGGGCGCGGCCGCCUGAGCCCGUUCGGAGCCGGGGGGAACGGGGGGUCUCGGGGGGUCUCGGCUCCCGGGGCUGCUUCGGCCUCGCCUUUGCUUUCAGUUGCCUUUUGGGUCAUUUUUCCCCUUUUUUGUUUUUUUUUCCCUUUUUUGUUUUUUUUUUUUCCCCUUUUUUCCUCCUUUCUCUCAUUUUUCCCCUGUUUUUCUUCUUUGUUCUCUUUCUUCCCUCCCUUGUUUUUUCCCCUUCUUUCUAUCCCUUCUUUUCUUUCCCCUUUUUCCUCUUUAUUUUCCUUUUUUCUCCUAUUUUUUAAAUUUUUUAACCCCUUAUUUUCCUCUUUAUUUUUUCUUCCUUUUCCCUCUUUUUUUUUUUUUUUUAAUUCCUGUAUUUUUUUUCUGGCUUUUCACCUCCUUCUUUUUAAAAAGCUUUUUAUUUUCCCGAUUUGCCUUUUGUUUCUUUUUGUUUGUUUUUAUUUUAAUCCCUCCACGCUCUCUGUGCUGCUCCAACCUCCCCUCCUCCCCCCUCAGGGCCCGGCCCCGCUGCCCCGUUUUUAUCGCAUUGUACCGCCCCCCCCCCGCGGCCGCUUUGUACAAGGUGGAACUCGAUACUUUAUGUAG
rnacentral:lncRNA from 1 species